CCUACGGGAGGCAGCAGUAAGGAAUAUUGGUCAAUGGAGGCAACUCUGAACCAGCCAUGCCGCGUGCAGGAAGAAGGCCCUAUGGGUCGUAAACUGCUUUUGUACCAGAGAAAACCCGAGUACGUGUACUCGGUUGAUAGUAUGGUAAGAAUAAGCAUCGGCUAACUUCGUGCCAGCAGCCGCGGUAAGACGAAGGAUGCAAGCGUUAUCCGGAUUCAUUGGGUUUAAAGGGUGCGUAGGCGGACUGAUAAGUCAGUGGUGAAAUCUCUCGGCUUAACCGAGAAACUGCCAUUGAUACUGUUAGUCUAGAGUAUAGAUGACGUUGGCGGAAUAUGACAUGUAGUGGUGAAAUACUUAGAUAUGUCAUAGAACACCGAUUGCGAAGGCAGCUAACGAAACUAUAACUGACGCUGAGGCACGAAAGUGCGGGGAUCAAACAGGAUUAGAUACCCUGGUAGUCCGCACCGUAAACGAUGAUUACUCGUUGUUGGCAAUAUGACCGUCAGCGACCAAGCGAAAGCGAUAAGUAAUCCACCUGGGGAGUACGCCGGCAACGGUGAAACUUAAAGAGUAGUAGACGNGNGAGAGCGACGAGACACGACGGAGGGUUAGAGG
rnacentral:rRNA from 1 species